GAUGAACGCUGGCGGCGUGCUUAACACAUGCAAGUCGAACGAAGCGGCUUUACGGAAGUUUUCGGAUGGAAGUGAGGUUGACUGAGUGGCGGACGGGUGAGUAACGCGUGGGUAACCUGCCUCAUACAGGGGGAUAACAGUUAGAAAUGACUGCUAAUACCGCAUAAGCGCACAGUACCGCAUGGUACAGUGUGAAAAACUCCGGUGGUAUGAGAUGGACCCGCGUCUGAUUAGCUAGUUGGUGAGGUAACGGCCCACCAAGGCGACGAUCAGUAGCCGACCUGAGAGGGUGACCGGCCACAUUGGGACUGAGACACGGCCCAAACUCCUACGGGAGGCAGCAGUGGGGAAUAUUGCACAAUGGGCGAAAGCCUGAUGCAGCGACGCCGCGUGAGCGAAGAAGUAUUUCGGUAUGUAAAGCUCUAUCAGCAGGGAAGAUAAUGACGGUACCUGACUAAGAAGCCCCGGCUAACUACGUGCCAGCCGCCGCUGUAAAAC
rnacentral:rRNA from 1 species